rnacentral:rRNA from 1 species
UUAAAUCAUAUCAGGCGUAAUACCACAACCCUUAA